rnacentral:ribozyme from 14 species
UUUUCUUUUUCUUUUCUUUGUUGUUUGUAUAAAUUAACAAAAAAAAAAAAAAAA